GCCUUGAUGGUGAAAUGGUGACACGCGAGACUCAAAAUCUCGUGCUGAAGAGCGUGGAGGUUCGAGUCCUCUUCAGGCA
rnacentral:tRNA from 1 species